rnacentral:rRNA from 1 species
CACGUAGGCGGACUGUUUAGUCAGGGGUGAAAUCCCGAGGCUCAACCUCGGAAUUGCCCUUGAUACUGGCAGUCUUGAGUCCGAGAGAGGUGAGUGGAAUUCCGAGUGUAGAGGUGAAAUUCGUAGAUAUUCGGAGGAACACCAGUGGCGAAGGCGGCUCACUGGCUCGGUACUGACGCUGAGGUGCGAAAGCGUGGGGAGCAAACA